GACGAACGCUGGCGGCGUGCCUAAUACAUGCAAGUCGAACGCAGUGGGGACGGGUGAGUAACACGUGGGUAACCUCCAAUAAGAGGGGAAAAAACUUGGAAACAGGGGCUAAAACCGAAACUGAUGGAGGGACCCGGGGUUCAUUAGCUAGUUGGUGAGGUAACGGCUCACCAAGGCCACGAUGCAUAGCCGACCUGAGAGGGUGAUCGGCCACACUGGGACUGAGACACGGCCCAGACUCCUACGGGAGGCAGCAGUAGGGAAUCUUCGGCAAUGGACGAAAGUCUGACCGAGCAACGCCGCGUGAGUGAAGAAGGUUUUCGGAUCGUAAAACUCUGUUGUUAGAGAAGCGGUAUCUAACCAGAAAGCCACGGCUAACUACGUGCCAGCCGCCGCGGUAGUUC
rnacentral:rRNA from 1 species